AUAAAGUAUACUAAAGUGAGAAUGAAAAGAAUGAAUACAGAUGAAAUUAAAAAGGCUGACAUUAAGUUUUAUGUUGUUUGCAGUAUUGUACCUGUGUUUGUCCCAGGAUAGUCAAGUGAAUGUUUUUGCUGGGAGUAGAAUGAGAACCAAAGAACAGUGAGGAAGACCAUCAAAAAAAUUCAGGAGACUUGAUUCAGGGCUGACUGGGGGACCUACUGCAUCACCACCACAACUUCCUUCAGCACCUGAAUUCUCCUUGGGAUGUUUCCACAUCCAGGUACUUACAUGGCCAAGUCAGUUCAAUAUGUGAAAUUUGACUGUGUUCACCGAUUGAAG